rnacentral:piRNA from 1 species
UAAGUGGAAGUAGCUCUCAGCAGAUG